rnacentral:rRNA from 1 species
GACGAACGCUGGCGGCGUGCUUAACACAUGCAAGUCGAACGGAAAGGCCCUGCUUGCAGGGUGCUCGAGUGGCGAACGGGUGAGUAACACGUGGGUGAUCUGCCCCUUACUUUGGGAUAAGCCUGGGAAACUGGGUCUAAUACUGGAUAGGACCAUGCUGUAGGUGGUGUGGUGGAAAGAUUAGUUUCGGUAAGGGAUGAGCUCGCGGCCUAUCAGCUUGUUGGUGGGGUAAUGGCCUACCAAGGCGUCGACGGGUAGCCGGCCUGAGAGGGUGGACGGCCACAUUGGGACUGAGGGACGGCCCAGACUCCUACGGGAGGCAGCAGUGGGGAAUAUUGCACAAUGGGGGCAAGCCUGAUGCAGCGACGCCGCGUGGGGGAUGACGGCCUUCGGGUUGUAAACUCCUUUCAGCCAUGACGAAGCCCUUGUGGUGACGGUAGUGGUAGAAGAAGCACCGGCUAACUACGUG